rnacentral:tRNA from 1 species
GUUCUCUUAGUUCAAUGGUUAGAACAACAUUUUUCUAAAUUGCAUAUCCCUGUUCGAGUCUGGGAGAGAACU